ACGAACGCUGGCGGCGUGCUUAACACAUGCAAGUCGAACGGGCCCGCCCCUGUUUUUGGGGGUGGGUUGAGUGGCGAACGGGUGAGUAUCACGUGAGUAACCUGCCCCCUGCUCCUGGAUAACUGCUUGAAAGGGCGGCUAAUACGGGGUGUGCCGGCUGGUCCGCAUGGGCCUGGUCGGGAUAGUUUCAUCUUCGGGUGUUUCGGUGGGGGAUGGGCUCGCGGCCUAUCAGCUUGUUGGUGGGGGGAUGGCCCACCAAGGCGGUGACGGGUAGCCGGCCUGAGAGGGUGGGCGGCCACACUGGGACUGAGACACGGCCCAGACUCCUGCGGGAGGCAGCAGUGGGGGGUAUUGCACAAUGGGCGGAAGCCUGAUGCAGCGACGUCGCGUGAGGGAUGGAGGCCUUCGGGUGGUGAACCUCUUUCUCCGGUGGUGAAGGCCCUGUCCGUUGCGGCGGGGUUGACGGUAGCCGGGUAUGAAGCGCCGGCUAACUACGUG
rnacentral:rRNA from 1 species